ensembl:snoRNA SNORD102 small nucleolar RNA, C/D box 102
AGCUUGAUGAUGAUUGUCUUAUAUGAUUACUUUUCUAAUGAGUAAAAUGAAAACAACUUCACCGGCUCUGAAAGCU